rnacentral:rRNA from 1 species
UCGUAACAAGGUUUCCGUAGGUGAACCUGCGGAAGGAUCAUUACCACACCAAAAAACUUUCCACGUGAACCGUUAUAAAUAUGUUCUUGUGUCUCUCUGAUGCAGUGCUAUCUCUUUCGGGAGACUGUGCAGCUGAAGUAAGACUGAACGAAGGUCGGCGUAGUACUAUUGCUUCGGCAACUGGAACCGCUUGCCGAUGUAUUUUUCAAACCCAUUUACUUAAUACUGAUCUAUACUCCGACGACGAAAGUCAUUGGUUUUAAUCAAUAACAACUUUCAGCAGUGGAUGUCUAGGCUCGCACAUCGAUGAAGAACGCUGCGAACUGCGAUACGUAAUGCGAAUUGCAGAAUUCAGUGAGUCAUCGAAAUUUUGAACGCACAUUGCACUUUCGGGUUAUGCCUGGAAGUAUGCCUGUAUCAGUGUCCGUACAUCAAACUUGCCUUUCUUUUUCUGUGUAGUCAGGAAUUGAGAUGGCAGAAUGUGAGGUGUCUCGAACUGUUCUACUUGUAGAAAAGUACGAGUCCCUUUAAAUGUACGUUCACUCUCUUGUGUCUAAGUAGAAGUGUAAUGCUCGAACGCAGUGAUCUGUUUGGAUCGCUUUGCGCUGGUGGGCGACUUCGGAAGGGACAUUAAGGAGGCAACCUCUAUUGGCGGUAUGUUAGGCUUCGGCCCGACGUUGCAGCUGACAGAGUGUGGUUUCCGUUCUUUCUUUGAGGUGUACCUGUCGUGUGUGAGGCUUGAACCAGGCGUUGUUUNCUGUGUAGUAGUGUGUUACUGCUCUUUGACGCCUAUCUUCGGAUAGGUAAAGGGGUCAACACCAAUUUGGGAUCGGAGUGUUUGCUUUAUUGUGAAUGCUUCUAUUUUACUUGGACCUGAUAU